AGAGUUUGAUCCUGGCUCAGAACGAACGCUGGCGGCGUGCUUAACACAUGCAAGUCGAACGAGAAAGAGUUCCUUCGGGAACUUGAGUAAAGUGGCGCACGGGUGAGUAACGCGUAGAUAAUCUACCCUUAUAUAUGGAAUAACUGAGCGAAAGCUUAGCUAAUACCGUAUACGCUUUUCCGGUCGCGAGGCCGGGAGAGGAAAGAUGGCCUCUGACUCAAGCUAUCGUAUAAGGAUGAGUCUGCGUACCAUUAGCUAGUAGGUGGGGUAAUGGCCUACCUAGGCUACGAUGGUUAGCGGGUCUGAGAGGAUGAUCCGCCACACUGGAACUGGAACACGGACCAGACUCCUACGGGAGGCAGCAGUGAGGAAUUUUGCGCAAUGGGGGAAACCCUGACGCAGCGACGCCGCGUGGGUGAUGAAGGCUUUCGAGUCGUAAAGCCCUGUCAAGUGGGAAGAACCGUCAAUGUGAUAAUACCACAUUGAUCUGACGGUACCACUAAAGGAAGCACCGGCUAACUCCGUGCCAGCAGCCGCGGUAAUACGGAGGGUGCGAGCGUUGUUCGGAAUUACUGGGCGUAAAGGGCGCGUAGGCGGCACUGUAAGUCAGAUGUGAAAGUCCAGGGCUUAACCCUGGAAGUGCAUCUGAUACUGCAGAGCUUGAGUAUCGGAGGGGAAAGUAGAAUUCCCGGUGUAGAGGUGAAAUUCGUAGAUAUCGGGAGGAAUACCGGUGGCGAAGGCGACUUUCUGGACGAAUACUGACGCUGAUGCGCGAAAGCGUGGGGAGCAAACAGGAUUAGAUACCCUGGUAGUCCACAGCUGUAAACGAUGUACACUAGAUGUAGGGGGUGUUGACCCCUCCUGUGUCGCAGCUAACGCAUUAAGUGUACCGCCUGGGGAGUACGGUCGCAAGAUUAAAACUCAAAGGAAUUGACGG
rnacentral:rRNA from 1 species